UACGUAGGGUGCGAGCGUUAAUCGGAAUUACUGGGCGUAAAGCGCGCGCAGGCGGUUUUGUAAGCCAGAUGUGAAAUCCCCGGGCUUAACCUGGGAAUGGCAUUUGGGACUGCAAGGCUGGAGUUUGGCAGAGGAGACUGGAAUUCCCGGUGUAGCAGUGAAAUGCGUAGAUAUCGGGAGGAAUACCGAUGGCGAAGGCAGGUCUCUGGGCUAUAACUGACGCUCAUGCACGAAAGCGUGGGGAGCAAACAGG
rnacentral:rRNA from 1 species